GGUUGGAUGUGGCCCUGGACAGCCUGGUAUGGUAGUGGAUAUGGAGAUCGGUGGCCCUUCAUGCAGCAGAGGAAUUGGAGCUUAUGAUCCUUGAGGUCCCUUCCAACCCGAGCCAUUCUAUGAUUCUAAGAUUCUAUGACCUUACACUACAGGCUCCUGCACUUAUGGGGCUGUUCCCUGCAGUCAGUGAUAUUAGACAGAAAGGUGCAUCAUAGAAAAGCCUCCUCAUAAAUAAAAUACAUAAAUGAUCCUUCCCUUCUGAGAGAUGUACCACUGUAAACACCAGGCUGUCAGGACUCAUUUCCACUGUCAAAGUCACCAGGCCGGGUAGCUUAUAACGACAAGAGCACAUUGUUUAGAAGUAACCCAGCAAGAAAGGACUUGGAAGCAGCUAUAUUCAAAGGGAUAUCUACAUUCUGUAAGCAGAAUGAAGUUUUGAUGUGGCAGAUGAGAAGGCAGCAGCAGGAGAAGCAGGUGAUGUCCCCUGGACAUCUUUUAUCUGCCCCAAAGCUGAUCCACAGUACUUGAACAUAAGAUCCAUUUUUACCAUACAAUAUUAAAGCAGCAUAUUACCUGUUUUGCUUCUUAAUUGAGUAUGUUUUAUGAAAACUAAAGGAGAUGAUUUCCUAAGUCAUCAAGUAUGCUCAAAGAAGUAC